rnacentral:lncRNA from 1 species
AGAAAAAUCAAAAUAAAAAACCUAGACCUAGACUUUAGCACAUCAGCCGUUUUUUACAUGGAAGGGACUCUUCAUCUUCUUUAGAGAAAACCCUAGAGAACCUAAUCUUGAAGACCAAGCAGCCACGAGAGAUACAACUCUAAAAAAAACCUAGCACCAGCAGUUCCGGCCGAUCCCCCGAACCCUAGAACUUCUACACCUCGCCCAAAUGACCCUUCAACUCCUCCUACACAGAACCAGCGAGAACGGACCCUCUCAUCUCUCUUGAUCUCUGAGAGCAACGAGCAGUAGAAUACCAUCCCCAAUAGAGAACGACCUCCCUCCCUCGUUGCACUUUCGUUCUGUUCUAUCUCGCCAACGAGCUGGCCAAAAUCCAACAGGCUUUCAUGGAGGUCGUUCCAAAGCUCCAAGAAGAAGAAACAGCCGUCGUCCAAACCUCCAACCAACGAUAGCCGCUCCCUCACCACAAACAGCCCGAAGCAGCUCCAAACCGCCAGUAACUGUCAUAGCAUCCGUUGGCUUCAUUGUUUGGUUUAAUUCGAUUUUCCGGCGAGUAUUGUUCUUCAUCUCCUUCUCCGACAGCCAUUGCUAAUCCAACUGACCCUGUUCUUGGCUUCUAGAUAUGGUCGGUUUUACAUUUUUUGGCGAUUUCCAUUAAAACGGGUGGAGAGUGUUGUUUGAGUUGAGUUUUGCCGGUUCGAGGUUCGGAUCAAUAGCUCGUUUGUUUUGAUUUGCUGUUUUCUUGAGAUCUUACUUCAUUGAUUCAUGGCAGAAAAUACGCAGCAAUAAGGUUCAUUUUCCUUUCCGAUAUUGUUCUUCUCGCUAAUGUUUUGGAUCGUUUUGUAUUGAUUUAAUUUGUAUGAUUGGGAUGAUUUUUGUUCUUAGUUUUCUUUGUUGGGACAUUACUCUUGUUGAUUACGUUUCCUCCUAGUCCAUUACUGUAAUUUUCUUAGCAAAUUAUAUUGUUAGUCUCAAUAAUAAUUUAGUUUUUCUUUCUCUAUUUUGAGUAGUUUCCUUGGUAAGCAAUUAUCUGAAAUUAGCUUUUAGGAUAAUGAAUAAUGAAUCUCGUAGUUUACUUUAGACACGUAAUUAAAGCAUCACGACUAUGAGUAUGGUUCUCGUAGCAUGGUUGUGAUACUUAAUCUCAAAUUAGCUUUAAAUAUGAAUAUCUGUAGUUGAAUGCAUUUCGUUUAAAAUAAAUUGAGGUGCGCCAUACACAAACAAAAUUCAUAUUCUAUGGCCCUCAUAUUGGUUAUCUUAACUAGUGUAAAAAUGCCUUGAAUUUUCGUAGUUUGCUUUAGGUGUGUUAAUUAAAUAAUUAUCAUAGCUACGGGUACGGUUCCCGUGACGUGGUCGUGACACUUAAUUUCUAAAAAUCCGGGGUACAUUUAUGUGACCCGGCCACAAUUUAAUCUUGUUAAUAAAAUAAACAUAUUGUAGAUCGUUGGUACGGUUCCCGUGACAAGAUUUGCAAUGUCUAAUUAAAUAAAUAUUAGUAUAAUAACUGAAUAAUUAAAAGCGGUUUAAAAGGAAUAAAAUGCACAUAGGUUUAAAAAUAUUUUAAAAUUAGACAAAUAGGUCAAUAAUAAUAGUUGAGCGACCGUGCUAAAACCACGGAACCCGUGAAUGCCUAACACCUUCUCCCGAGUUAACAAAAUUCCUUACCCGAAUUUCUGUGUUCGCAGACCAUAAAUAAGAGUCAAACUUCCUCGAUUCGGGAUUUUAAACCGAUGACUUGGGACACCAUAAAUUAUCCCAAGUGGUUACUCUGAACUUAAAUAAAUAAAUAAAUCCCAUUUCGAUUGUCACUUAAAUUGGAAAAAACUCCCUUAUACCCUUUCCGGGGGUAAGAAAAAGGAGGUGUGACAGCUCUGGCGACUCUGCUGGGGAUAAGAACCCAGAAUCUCUGGUUCAGGGUUCAAGAAUUCGAGCUUAGAAUAAUUGUUAUAUUUGGUUUUUAUUGAUUAUCUGAUUUUUAUCACAUGCUUGGGCCUAAUGUGCUAAAUGUUGCUUUUUACCGCUUUGAUAUUAUCUGAACUGUAUAUAAACUGCUACGAAACCCUUCUCUUCUCAUCUUCGGGGAUGUGCACGCUAGCGUGACUCCUUUUCUGUUAGUGUCAUACCUUNNNNNNNNNNNNNNNNNNNNNNNNNNNNNNNNNNNNNNNNNNNNNNNNNNNNNNNNNNNNNNNNNNNNNNNNNNNNNCUCGAGUUGUCCGCUCGGGUACACAAGUCUAGAAUAAUAUAACCAGGUUUUAAACCUAGAAUAACUCAGCCUCAUGUCGGAUCCCUAGUAAGAACGCUUGUUUAAUCCGUCUAGGAUAGGUGUACCCAAAAUAACAGACUAUCUUGAUGCAUCUUUGUGCUACAUGUUGCAUUUCUUCAAGGGUAAAAAGGUCAUUUGGCGUACCAAUGAUAGUUGAGGGCAAAUGAGAAAAGAAAAAAAUGAGAAAGAAAAGAGGGUGAAGUGUGAAAAUAAAGCAAGUAGGGCCUAGUUAUGUUUUUCUUUUACAUUUUUUAAGAAAAAGACAAAAAAUGAACAUGAAAAGAAAAAUCCAAAAAGAUUUUGCAUUUCCCUUUAUUUUUCAAAAAAAAAGACAAAAAUAUAUUUUCUCUAAGUUAUUUAUUAAUUUUAUUUCUCGACCGUAUCUGAUCUUACCGAACUACGCAUAUCUGAUUCUCGUCUUUCGGAGCGUGAUACGUAGGCAACCCACAUAGGGUUCUGUCUUCUUAGUGAGUCUUAGGUCCUUGGCUUAGCGGGGUCUUAGCCAAAUCUUGCAUGUCUAGUCAAUUUUGGCCACAUUGGUCAUUUUGCAAAAUAGGGCUAUUUUCACAAAGUGGUUUGUUUAACUGUGUUUGGAGAGUCUCCAAUCUGCAAUUAGGUGUCUCUUUACUUUAGAGUCCAUCCUUGUCAAAUUUGCAUGUCUACCGCUUUUGGCUGCAUAGGCCGUUUUGCAAAAUAGGGCUAUUUUCGCAAAAGUGGUUCAAUUAACCCAUGUCUUAGAGUCCUAGGUCCACAACAAGGUGUCCUCUAUGUUUAAGGCCCAUUCUGUUGAAUUUUCAUGCUUAGCCGUUUUUUUGGCCACAUUGGCCAUUUCUACAAAAUCAGUCAUUUCUGCAAAAGUAAUUUUUCCAUGUCUUAGAGGUCACCUUUGUUGAGUUUGCACUUGUAGCAGCCUUUUGACCACAUAGACUAUUUUGCACAAUCAUAUCUUGUAUGUGUCCAACAAGAAGAGUUAUUGUCUCACAUAGCGUUCUAGGUCUUUAACUUUAUUUGGUCUUAGUUUUCUCAUAUAGGUGUGGAUUUAUUUAUCAGAGUUCGAGCAUGAUAGAUACCCCGGGACCAUCCAGUCAGGAUCGCUCAUUCAGG